UGUAGUUCAGUGGUUGGAAUCCCACGUUGUGACCGUGGGGACCUGGGAUCGAAUCUCAGCA
rnacentral:tRNA from 1 species